rnacentral:rRNA from 1 species
UGGGGAAUAUUGGACAAUGGGCGAAAGCCUGAUCCAGCCAUGCCGCGUGUGUGAAGAAGGUCUUCGGAUUGUAAAGCACUUUAAGUUGGGAGGAAGGGCUGCAAGCUAAUACCUUGUAGUUUUGACGUUACCAACAGAAUAAGCACCGGCUAACUUCGUGCCAGCAGCCGCGGUAAUACGAAGGGUGCAAGCGUUAAUCGGAAUUACUGGGCGUAAAGCGCGCGUAGGUGGUUUGGUAAGAUGGAUGUGAAAUCCCCGGGCUCAACCUGGGAACUGUAUCCAUAACUGCCUGACUAGAGUACGGUAGAGGGUGGUGGAAUUUCCUGUGUAGCGGUGAAAUGCGUAGAUAUAGGAAGGAACACCAGUGGCGAAGGCGACCACCUGGACUGAUACUGACACUGAGGUGCGAAAGCGUGGGGAGCAAACA